UUAGUGGCGCACGGGUGCGUAACGCGUGGGAAUCUACCCCUUGGUUCGGAAUAACAGUUGGAAACGACUGCUAAUACCGGAUGAUGACGUAAGUCCAAAGAUUUAUCGCCGAGGGAUGAGCCCGCGUAGGAUUAGGUAGUUGGUGUGGUAAAGGCGCACCAAGCCGACGAUCCUUAGCUGGUCUGAGAGGAUGAUCAGCCACACUGGGACUGAGACACGGCCCAGACUCCUACGGGAGGCAGCAGUGGGGAAUAUUGGACAAUGGGCGAAAGCCUGAUCCAGCAAUGCCGCGUGAGUGAUGAAGGCCUUAGGGUUGUAAAGCUCUUUUACCCGGGAUGAUAAUGACAGUACCGGGAGAAUAAGCUCCGGCUAACUCCGUGCCAGCAGCCGCGGUAAUACGGAGGGAGCUAGCGUUAUUCGGAAUUACUGGGCGUAAAGCGCACGUAGGCGGCUUUGUAAGUAAGAGGUGAAAGCCUAGAGCUCAACUCUGGAAUUGCCUUUUAGACUGCAUCGCUUGAAUCAUGGAGAGGUCAGUGGAAUUCCGAGUGUAGAGGUGAAAUUCGUAGAUAUUCGGAAGA
rnacentral:rRNA from 1 species